AUCUCUCACAAGACCUUCUGGUCUUGCUGAUGUUGGGAGCUGCGACCCCCCGGGGACGCUCUCCUCAAAUGCAUUGGUGCGGCCCGCCGCCCGGUUACACAACGUUCUAGGUUCGUCCAACUCGUUGAAAGCCGAGCAAACAUGGUGCAGCACCUUAAGCCCGCCCCGAGCCCCGAGCUCUCGGCAUAACUUCAUU
rnacentral:misc_RNA from 2 species